GCCGUCUUAGCUCAGUUGGGAGAGCGUCAGACUGAAGUUCUGAAGGUCCUGCGUUCGAUCCGCAGAGACGGCA
rfam:Basidiobolus meristosporus CBS 931.73 K493scaffold_43, whole genome shotgun sequence.